rnacentral:piRNA from 1 species
UUGGGGACUGAAAAUGCCCAGGGAGCAUGG